CUCGUAGGCGGCUUGGCAAGUCGAUCGUGAAAGCCCGGGGCUUAACCCCGGGACGCCGGUCGAUACUGCCAUGGCUUGGGUCCUGUAGAGGAGAAUGGAAUUCCCGGUGUAGCGGUGAAAUGCGCAGAUAUCGGGAGGAACACCAGUAGCGAAGGCGGUUCUCUGGGCCGGUACCGACGCUGAGGAGCGAAAGCGUGGGGAGCAAACAGGAUUAGAUACCCUGGUAGUCC
rnacentral:rRNA from 1 species